rnacentral:rRNA from 1 species
CCUACGGGUGGCUGCAGCAAGGAAUUUUCCGCAAUGGGCGCAAGCCUGACGGAGCAACGCCGCGUGGGGGAUGACGCUUUUCGGAGUGUAAACCCCUUUUCUCCGGGAAGAACACAAUGACGGUACCGGAGGAAGAAGGACCGGCUAACUACGUGCCAGCAGCCGCGGUAAUACGUAGGGUCCGAGCGUUGUCCGGAGUUACUGGGCGUAAAGCGCGCGCAGGCGGCUCGGUAAGACUGGCGUGAAAGCCCCCGGCUCAACCGGGGAGGGUCGUU